rnacentral:rRNA from 1 species
GAUGAACGCUGGCGGCGUGCCUAACACAUGCAAGUCGAACGUGCGGGAAUACUUGUAUUCCCAAAAGUGGCGAACGGGUGAGUAACACGUAGGUAACCUGCCGCGUAGUGGGGAAUAACGACUGGAAACGGUCGCUAAUACCGCAUGCGUCUCUGGAGACGGGCGUCUUUGGGGGCAAAGCUUAAUGCGCUACGCGAGGGGCCUGCGUCCGAUUAGCUAGUUGGUGAGGUAACGGCUCACCAAGGCUGUGAUCGGUAGCUGGUCUGAGAGGACGAUCAGCCACACGGGAACUGAGACACGGUUCCGACUCCUACGGGGGGCAGCAGUGAGGAAUAUUGCACAAUGGGGGCAACCCUGAUGCAGCAACGCCGCGUGGGGGAUGAAGGCCUUUGGGUCGUAAACCCCUUUUCUCGAGGAAGAGGAAGGACGGUACUCGAGGAAUCAGUCACGGCUAACUACGUGCCAGCCGCCGCAGUAAGAC